UCUGUGUGUGACUGUUCUGUUGACUGUCUCUGUCUCUGUUGCAAUUAUUUGUGAAGCUUCAAGAGAAGUUUCUGUUCUUUCAUUGCUUUGAAUAUCAUUUCAUAUAUGUCUAUUACUGCUUCUGUCUCUGAUUCUUUUGCAACUUGUUCAUUCUUCUUCAUUUCUGCUUUCACUUCUACCCUUUCUUUCCUUUCUUUAUUUUCUGUUGAGUGAGUGUUCAUUAUUUGUUCUUAUAGAGGUUCAGAUGCCUGCUUUACUGCAUUACUCACUUCUGCCUUGCCCUCUCUUACUCUGAUUGAUUUUUCUCUGUAUAUACAUUCUCAUUGUUUUAUUGAGCUUUCUGUGAAUCUCUUCAUUGGGGAUAUCAAAUUGGUACAUCAGGCUCUUCAUGAGAUGAAGAUGUGCUCUGCACUUCUAUACACUUGUCUUGAGAUCUUGAAGUUUUUGAUGCAGACUGAGUUUUAAUUUUUGUUGCAUACAAAUUGUUCUUGGAGA
rnacentral:sRNA from 2 species